GACGUAGGGGGGCGAGCGUUGUUCGGAAUUACUGGGCGUAAAGGGCUCGUAGGCGGCCAACUAAGUCAGACGUGAAAUCCCCAGGCUCAACCUGGGAACUGCGUCUGAUACUGGAUGGCUUGAAUCCGGGAGAGGGAUGCAGAAUUCCAGGUGUAGCGGUGAAAUGCGUAGAUAUCUGGAGGAACACCGGUGGCGAAGGCGGCAUCCUGGACCGGUAUUGACGCUGAGGCGCGAAAGCCAGGGGAGCAAACGGG
rnacentral:rRNA from 1 species